rnacentral:rRNA from 1 species
AGAGUUUGAUCCUGGCUCAGGAUGAACGCUGGCGGUAUGCCUAACACAUGCAAGUCGUACGAGAGUUUUUAACUCUAGUGGCGGGCGGGUGAGUAACACGUAAGAAUUUACCUUCAGGAGGGGGAUAACAAUUGGAAACAAAUGCUAAUACCCCAUAUGCUUUCGAGUGAAAUGGAUUUAUAUUUAUCCGCCUAAAGAGAAGCUUGCGUCUGAUUAGCUUGUUGGCAAGGUAAAAGCUUACCAAGGCGACGAUCAGUAUCUGGUUUGAGAGGACGAUCAGACACACUGGAACUGAGACACGGUCCAGACUCCUACGGGAGGCAGCAGUGGGGAAUUUUCCGCAAUGGGCGAAAGCCUGACGGAGCAAUACCGCGUGAGGGAAGACUGCCUAUGGGUNGUAAACCUCUUUUUUCACGGGAGGAACAAAA